rnacentral:rRNA from 1 species
GAUGAACGCUGGCGGCGUGCCUAAUACAUGCAAGUCGAGCGAACAGAUGAGGAGCUUGCUCCUCUGACGUUAGCGGCGGACGGGUGAGUAACACGUGGAUAACCUACCUAUAAUACUGGGAUAACUUCGGGAAACCGGAGCUAAUACCGGAUAAUAUAUUGAAGCGCGUUGUUCAAUGGUGAGAGACGGUUUUGCUGUCACUUAUAGCUGGAUCCGCGCCGCAUUAGCUAGUUGGUAAGGUAACGGCUUACCAAGGCAACGAUGCGUAGCCGACGUGAGAGGGUGAUCGGCCACACUGGAACUGAGACGCGGACCAGACUCCUACGGGAGGCAGCAGUAGGGAAUGUGCCGCAAUGGGCGGAAGCCUGACGGAGCAACGGGGCGUGAGUGAUGAAGGUCUUCGGAUCGUAAAACUCUGUUACUAGGGAAGAACAAAUGUGUAAGUAACUAUGCACGUCUUGACGGUACCGAAUCAGAAAGCCACGGCUAACUACGUG